AUUGAACGCUGGCGGCAGGCCUAACACAUGCAAGUCGAGCGGAUGACGGGAGCUUGCUCCUGGAUUCAGCGGCGGACGGGUGAGUAAUGCCUAGGAAUCUGCCUGGUAGUGGGGGACAACGUUUCGAAAGGAACGCUAAUACCGCAUACGUCCCACGGGAGAAAGCAGGGGACCUUCGGGCCUUGCGCUAUCAGAUGAGCCUAGGUCGGAUUAGCUAGUUGGUGAGGUAAUGGAUCACCAAGGAGACGAUCCGUAACUGGUCUAAGAGGAUGGGCAGUCACACUGGAACUGAGACACGGUCCAGACUCCUACGGGAGGCAGCAGUGGGGAAUAUUGGACAAUGGGCGAAAGCCUGAUCCAGCCAUGCCGGGUGUGUGAAGAAGGUCUUCGGAUUGUAAAGCACUUUAAGUUGGGAGGAAGGGCAGUAAGCGAAUACCUUGCUGUUUUGACGUUACCGACAGAAUAAGCACCGGCUAACUCUGUGCCAGCCGCCGCAGUAAAAC
rnacentral:rRNA from 1 species